rnacentral:rRNA from 1 species
UACGAAGGGGGCUAGCGUUGCUCGGAAUCACUGGGCGUAAAGCGCACGUAGGCGGAUUGCUAAGUCAGGGGUGAAAUCCUGGAGCUCAACUCCAGAACUGCCUUUGAUACUGGCGACCUUGAGUCCGGGAGAGGUGAGUGGAACUGCGAGUGUAGAGGUGAAAUUCGUAGAUAUUCGCAAGAACACCAGUGGCGAAGGCGGCUCACUGGCCCGGUACUGACGCUGAGGAGCGAAAGCGUGGGGAGCAAACAGG